GACAAACGCUGGCGGCAUGCCUAACACAUGCAAGUCGAACGGACAGAACAGGGAAGCUUUUCGGAGUGGAACUGGAAAGUUAGUGGCGGAUGGGUGAGUAACGCGUGGACAACCUACCUUGUAAAGGGGAAUAACCUCGAGAAAUCGAAGCUAAUACCCCAUAAUAACCUUGCUUCGCAUGAAGUAAGGAGGAAAGGCGGCCUUAGCGCUGUCGAUACAAGAUGGGUCCGCGUCUGAUUAGCUAGUUGGUGAGGUAAAGGCUCACCAAGGCGACGAUCAGUAGCCGGCCUGAGAGGGUGAACGGCCACAUUGGGACUGAGACACGGCCCAAACUCCUACGGGAGGCAGCAGUGGGGAAUCUUCCGCAAUGGGCGAAAGCCUGACGGAGCAAUGCCGCGUGAGUGAAGAAGGCCUUCGGGUUGUAAAACUCUGUCCUUAUCGAAGAGAGAGUGUUGUAGUAACUGGCAAUACUAGGACGGUAGAUGAGGAGGAAGCCCCGGCUAACUAUGUG
rnacentral:rRNA from 1 species